rnacentral:lncRNA from 1 species
AUUGGGUUUGUGUUGCUGGAGAUGAGGAGACCCGUGCCCAGGUGUUGUUGCUUGUCCAAUCAGUUUAUUUUUAAAUAUAUUAACAAAAUUUAUUUCAUCACACUUGAUGAGCUCAUAUGUGUGAUUUUUUGAAUUCUCCUUUGAAUAGCUUGUAACUAUUUGAACAUCUUAUUGGUUCCAUAAUUAAUUAAUUCUUUUUCUAAUUAGCUUUUUAAAAACCAGAAUUGAUAUUAGACUAAUCAGUUUUUAUUAAUGAGGAGAUGAAAUUGAGUUGUUUGCACACUUUAAGAUUAGUGUCGUAUUGGCCAGAUCACGUCAAUAGUUGAGCAAGUGCAAAAUUAGAGCUUCUUCAGCAUAGAACUCUCUCGUGGUUCUUGAAGAUGACUUUUUUUUUUUUUUGUCUUUAAUAAACUGCUGGUAUCAUUUCAGACCACUUGCUAUUUAGGCACUUAGGAAUUUUUCACUGGAAUUCAUGUAAAGAAAGACCAUGGGCGUUUGUACUGGAUUUAGUAUUCAUCAUUCGACUGCAUGACUCACCCCUAGAGCCAUAAUUUUACUAAUGAAUUUUUCAGAUACUACUCAGCUAGCGACUGAACCUAACCAGCAACCCACCCUCAACCACUUGAUGGUCUUUUGUUCUUCUCUGUUCCUCCUGAAACUCAGUUACUCUCAGAAGGUGAUAAAUACUUGCAUUUCUUUUUUUUUUUUUUCUUCCUAGAGACAGGGUCUUGCUCUGUCACCCAGGCUGCAGUGCGGUGGCGUGAUCAUGGCUCACUGCAGCCUGAAACCCCUGGGCUCAAACAAUCCUCCCACCUCAACCUCCCAAGUAGCUGGGACUACAGACGUUUGCCAGUACACCCAGCUAACUUCUUUAUGUUUUACUGUAGAGACGGGAUCUUGCUAUGUUGCCCAGGAUGGUGUCAAACUCCCUGCCUCAAGUGAUCUUUCUGCCUCAGCUUCCCAAAGUGCUGGGAUUAUAUAUAUGCAGGCGUGAGCCACCUGUGUUCAACUCCCUAUUUUCUUUUUUUAAUAACAAUUUUAUUGAAAUAUGAUUAACAUAUCAUACAAUUCAUUUAUCAAAUUAUGCGAUUCAGGCCGGGCGCAGUGGCUAAUUCCUAUAAUUCUAAGACUUUGGGAAGCUGAGGCAAGUGGAUCGCUUGAGUUCACAAGUUUGAGACCAGCCUGGG